rnacentral:lncRNA from 1 species
GCCACGAAAUGACCAAUGUAAAACAAUUCAUUUAUGAUCACACUUGUGCUGUUUCAUCUGAGUGCAGAAAAGCUUUACAUUGAGUAUUUACAAUAAGAAUAUUUACAUUGUGUUUUGCGCAGAUUUAAAGAUGAUAAGUGAAUUAUGACUAUGUUGUGUUUUUGGUCAUUGCUGGAUGGAAAUUUGACUACAGUUUCUAUUUAAAAAAUGUGUUGAUCUUGAAUUGUGGCAAUGUUGUCAGGAAGAAGAUUCCAUUCGUGGUUAGAAACUGUUUUGAUACUCUAUACAGUGUUGCAUUGUGGCUGUAUUAUGUACACGGAGUUCGUGUAGUGUUCAACAUGCUUU